CCAAGGAGUCUAACAUGUGUGCGAGUUUUUGGGUUGUCUAAACCCGAAAGCGCAGUGAAAGCAAAGGGCUGCUUGCAGCCUUAGGGGAGAUCCUUUACCGGCGCAUCCCCGCCAUUUCCAAUCAGCCUCGUCUGUUGGGAAUAGGAAGAGCAUACAUGUUGGGACCCGAAAGAUGGUGAACUAUGCCUGACCAGGUUGAAGUCAGGAGAAAUCCUGAUGGAAGACCGUAGCGAUUCUGACGUGCAAAUCGAUCGUUGGAGUUGGGUAUAGGGGCGAAAGACUAAUCGAACCAUC
rnacentral:rRNA from 1 species